rnacentral:lncRNA from 1 species
UAGAACUCUACAAUUAAUCAUAUUCUGAAUGUGAGUUUCAACAUAGAAUCCAAAAAGAAACUUGAGAUAAACCCAAACACAUAGAUCAACAAUCAUAGAAAAGUUAAAAUAGAACAAAUGAUAAAGAAAAUAGAGGAAAAAUGCCAUUGGCAUCCCCAACAAUUUUCGUUUGUUUUUCUUGUUGUGAUGACUCUAUGCGAGGAUGAAGAGUCUUGCAUUAAAAUUCCAUGUUGCUCCAAAGUGUACAUUCCACGAAAAGGAAAAGAACGAAAUAAGAAGGAUUAGAAACUAAGGAAACUAAUUCUUAUAAAUAUAUGAAAGCCAAAAUAAGAGAAACAUAGAAUGCACAUUUGUCAAAUAUAUAAAUGACUUGAACCUGACAUGAAACUUGGAUAUGCCUAGAAACUUAACAGUGUUUCAAACAAUGACAUUGUAAUGAGAUCCUAAAGAAAAUGCUACUUGACAUUAAUACACUCAAACUCAAAAUGUUCUACACUACGAUCAUACUAUUGCAACUUGGAAUCAUUUUUAAACAAGCCGUGAAACUAACUAAAUUCUUAAGUGAUAAAUUAUAUUUAGACAAAAGUAGGUGAUUCAAGUUUUAUGGAUAAGAAAACUAAGUACCGGGUGUCUAUAAUAACAUUACAAAAUUAUAUCUUCUAAGCAAAUCAAGUUUCUACCAGAUAAAGAAACUAAAGCUAUUAUUAUUAUUAUUAUUAUUAUUAUUAUUAUUAUUAUUAUUAUUGUUAUUUAAUCAAAUCAAACUGUUGUCCUAUAAUAGUUUAGGAAACUAGAAUACCAAAUCACACUUUCGUUUCUAUAUAAUAUAUAUUUCGGGUUAAAACAUAAAAAGAGAGACAUGGCAGAAUAGAACAAUUUUUAUGAGCAUCUCAAUAUUUAUGGAAAUAAAUAUUCAUAGACAAAGAGGGUUCCAACAUAAUCGCAAAUCAAUCCAGGCAUCAAUAUUAUUGAAGAUAGACUUUAGGCCAUCUCCAAGGCUGCACCAAAUUUUGCACCAAAUUCAAAUUUGGUGUUUUUUUGCUCCAAUGGAAUACCAAAUCUUGCACCAUUAUAGUUCAUGAAUAGUGUCACACCAAAUUUGGUGUAACACUAUUUAUCACACCAAAUUUGAUUUAUUAUUAUUUUAUUUAUUUUUUAUUUUUUGGACUUUUAAUUUAUCAUAUAUUGUGUAUAUAAUUAAUUUUUAUAUUAUGAUCAUUUUAAUUAUUAUUUUAUAUCCUAUUUUUUGAUAUAUUAAUUUUUGUAUAUAUUAUAUUUACAUAAAAUUAUAAGUUAAUUUAAUUGUCUAAUGUUGCUAAAAUUUAAAAGUGAAAACUAAAAUUUAAAAAAGAAAAUUAACAGUACAUAAAAUAAAAAUAAGUGAUUAUAUAUUUGUUUGAAGGAAAUAAAAAAUAAAAUUUAAAUAGAAGAUAAUAAUAUAAUAUAGAAGAGAGAGGAGAAAUAUUAUUUUUUGGUGUAAAAAAUGGUGUAAUGGUUGGAGUAAAUUUGGUGUUACACCAUUUUGGUGUGAAAUUUGGUGUUAGGGUUGGAGAUGGUCUUAGACAUGGUUUCUAAGACAGAGACAACUCUAUUGUCAUAUUUGAAGAAGAACCAAAAUAUUUUUUAUUUUUAUUUUUUAAGAUGGCAUGCUAUUCAAGAUUCACAACAGAAAUAAAUCUACACUAACAUUCUGUAAUACAAAGAUCCUAGCGCAUAAAUUUCUAAAACGCAGUAUUUUAACAAUCAAAAACUAAAUAGAGUGGAGUAGAAUUUACCUUUUGUGGGGCAGUGAACUAGGACUUUGAGGGCUUAGAUCUACUACUCCUUAGUUGUCGAGAAUAUAAAAAUGGAGACUAAAUAUUGAGAAUUUUUCCACAGAUUGUAAAACUUGAGAUUAAAAGAAAAGCAGAGUAGAUAUAAAUUGAUUUUUUUUUUUGGGAUUUUGCUGAUGAUUCCAGCUUGGUUUUCGACUGAUGAUUUUAGGAGUAUUUAUAGGAGAAAACAACUAGGGUUUCAUGAGCGGGAAUUGAAAGAGUCGUUUGAAAUCUGACACGUCACAUGAUCUCCCUUGCUCAGCAGAUCAGAUUUUAUGAACUUUUUUCUUAGCUCUUUGUGGUAUUCUUUGUUUGAUCGAAUCUUGUAGCAGAGAGAAGAGAUAAGAAAAGUCGUGAUGCUUUAGAGAUAUCAAAAUAUCUUACUCGAAAUCGGAUGAGCAAGUUCUGCCAUGGCUGAUGGGGUAAGGUAACUUUCACCAAAAGAGAAAGGAGGUAGGUAGGCGGCUAUUAGGGGUGUAGG